ensembl:rRNA 5_8S_rRNA 5.8S ribosomal RNA
AACUCUUAGCGGUGGAUCACUCAGCUUGUAUGUUGAUGAAGAAUGCAGUGAGCUGUGAGAACUAAUGUGAAUUGCAGGACACAAUGAUCAUCAACACUUCAAACGAACUUUGCGGCUCCAGGUCCCUCCCAGGGCCACGCCUGCCUGAGGGUUG